ACAGCCAAGCUCAAAACAGCCAAGUCCAAAAUGGCCAAAGUCAGAACAGCCAAAUACAAAGCUGCUUAAAUCAUAUAAAUUCAAAUUGCAAAAAAGUCCACAAAAAACCUUUCUAUGGAUAUUGAUAAGCUAAUUAAUUAUAGUUAAUUAACUCCGAUCGAGUCAAAAAAUGGUCUACAUGCACCUUUAUCGAUGCUCUUGUGUCCUUAAAAUUAUUGAGUCAAUUGAUUAAAUCAAACUUAUUCAAAAUUGAAGCAAAAGUCAGUGGUAAAAAACAAAAGUACAUUUUGUUACCCCUGCUAAAUCUGAUCAUUUAAAUAGUUUAUUUGAUUUAAGCAGCUUUGUAUUUGGCUGUUCUGACUUUGGCCGUUUUGGACUUGCUGUUUUGAGAUUGGCUGUUUUGACUUUGGCUGUUUUGGACCCAAACCGUUUAUAACUGUGAAAUUAAUAAUCUUUUUAUUGUAAAUUAUUAUAUUGGCUAAAUAGUAUCAAUCAAUCUUAAUUUACAUGUUAAAGGCCAUUUCUGCUUACCUAUUAUCAAGUAAUUUUCUUAUGAUUAUCAUGACAAUAAUUAGUAGUGUUUUCUGUGUUGUUGUCAUGUUAGUCACUUGAAUCUUAAAUACAAAAUGAUAAUCUUUUACUUAUCAUUUAAUGGUAUAAUGAAUAUCUUUUUUGUUUUUACAUUUAAUUGUUUGUUGUUAUGUUGAAAACGUUCAUCUUUAACACGAAUAUUUGUCUACAUUGCAAACAAAUUUGUAUUAGCUACCAAUGAUCACAAUUACAAGAUAAGUGUUUACUCUAGGAUGUAAUUGGAAAAAGAUUACCUAGGAAAUGGACCUUAACUGGCAGUCUGGAAGAGAUGAUCAUACAUAUUUGAAUAGUCAAAGUUAAACUACGGAGGCUAACUUGGUUUUGUAUAUUCAAUUUUUUAACUUACAAGACAAGUCAUUACAAGAAGCAUCAAGAAAAAAAAAAGUUACCAGAGAAGAGGCCAUCAACGAGAAAAAUGAAGCCAAAAAGAUAAACGGUUAAAAUUUUUUAGUCCAAUUGCAUUUUUCUAGUUAUAGUAGUACGUUGUUGUAUGGAAACGAACGGUAAUUGGCGGAUAAUAUGGAUUUCUAAUGACCUUUAAUAGGUAAUAAUGAGAUGGACAAAUUGUUUGUUACCAUUUAAACUGCUUAAAGUGAAAGGCAGCAAGAAUGGAAAUUGUUUGCAAGUCAAACUUGGAAACAUUAAGCAAUUACAAAGAAGCAAAGUUCGUUCCAUUUUACAUUGAGGUUGGCUCUUUUCAGAUGCAAGUUUAAGAACAAGAAAUAAUUAUCUACAUAAUAAAUGGAAAAUCAUGCAUGGAAUUUGUGACUGACUUCAAUCUGUUGCAGUUUGUAAUAGUUUCAACUGCUGAAUUACGAUCUAUCAAAAAGAAAGAAGCAAAAGAGUGAUAAAGGAAAUAUUAUUUCAAUUCCAAAUUCAAUUAAUUCCGGUAUUUCCGUUCAAGGAGAUUAAAGAUCAAGGUGAUUCAAAGUAACGUCGAGAUACGUUGAGUGAAGGUGAAAAGCAAGAAGAAACCACGGAAACGCAGAAGUCAAUGUAUACAUAAUCUUAUUGAACAAUCCUCUGUAUGUUCACUUUUCAGCCUAAGGCAGUCUUCCUAAUAUUACCAAUAUUUAGACCAAAACUGUGGCCAAGGAAAGCCCUUAACCAUUCCAAAUCUGAACCUUACCCAUUAUUUUUCAUUAUGUUUUCAUCUUGCUUUCAACGUUUCACUUUUUUGCUUCAAAAAAUUUCUCUAACCUGUCUUCUCGUCAAUUUUUUAAUACAUUUUUUUACAGAUAAAUUCUUGAUUGUAUUCUUACAUUUGAUUGUUAAGAAAUGCGAUUAUUUUUUAUUGUAAUUAUCAUGUGAAUGAAGCAUUUACUUAACUUUGUUUUUUUCAUUCUCAUUCUUACAGGUCUUCCAGUUUUUUCCUUUCCUUUUCACUUGGAUGACAGAGUUGUGAGAUUCAACAUUACCAUGAAGAUAUGAUAAGAAUUUUAAAAGGCUCAAUAAGACACGUACGAAAGGCUUUUAUUUCAUCAACUGAUUUAAUUGAUUAACAUACGUAAAAACAUAAUAUAAUCAAGAUCAGACCGUUUAUUCACCAAAUACUAUAAUAGCUACAGCAUAUUAACUCAUUCAGUUUUUGAAUUCUGUUGAUUACAUCUCUAUUAUCAACUCUAAAUCCGGUUAUUGAACACUUAUUUGUACACAAAUUAUUUAUAGACUUGUAUUUUUUUCUAAUAAUAUGGCAAAUAUAUUUUCUGUAUGAAAAAAACUGCAUAAUCAAGUUAAGUAGUACUUUUGAAUGGAUAAUUUUUUACUACCAACAAUGCUUGACUUUUUACCUGUAACCUGUCUCAUUGCUUCCUUUUUGCUUCAAUUUUUCUUUCUUAUUCUUACCUUUGUAUUAUUAUCUGUUUUUGCUUCUUGUUUUGCUUCAUUUUAUUUACCUUCUCAUUGUGAGGUUGUUUACUUACAUCAAAUAAGACAUUAUUUUGGUUGAUGAUUGAAAAUCAUGACCAUGAUUGCUAUCUUCAAGUCACAGAGAUUGAGAGAGGUUAACUUGAAUCAAUGAUUAUAAUGAUAAUGAUAACAAUAAUAACAAUAAUUAUAAAGAAUUUGUUCACUUUAUUUCAUCGUUUAGCUUCGUUUUGUAAAAAAGUAACAUUUAUUAAUCAAUCAUACAAUUUAACCCAUCAAAUUGUCCCAAUAAUACGCAUAAUUAAUAUUAAUAGUUGAAUUUACAAUAGUAAUUCCAAUUGAUUUUACCAAAACUGA